GGGCGUUUGGCAGAACGGUGGCACCUCCCUCUUAAGGAGACUGACGUAGGUUCAACUCCUACAGCGCCCACCA
rnacentral:tRNA from 1 species